GUCAAGGAUGAUCUGACUCUCUGCCGCGUCCUUAUUGACGGUUCCAGUCUAAACAAAGUGCUGCUUUAAGAACUACGUCUCGACCACGGAAUUCGAAAUACGAACCAACGUUUGACCACUUCGGCUACGCGUCAAUAUUUACAAAUUUUCAUCAUCGCUAUCGCGACAUCGUAUUUCGAACCGCUUCCUUUGUUUUUUCAAAACAUCUACGAAUAUCAUCCGAACAAAAGACAGAACUGAAAGAGAAAGCGGAUUCCGCGAAAUCAAUAAUAAAUGCAAAAGAAUUGAAUUCUUUGAGACGAAAGAUGUUCGAAUUUAUUCUCAAGUUUUUGUACUGGAAUAACUUUAUGCAUAUCCCUUUAAGUUUCAAGUAAAAUUGCGACUCUUUCAAUUAUGCGUACUCUUGCUGAUAUUGGUUCCAUAAACGAAUCUAUUCUAGGUGU
rnacentral:misc_RNA from 1 species